UAAGCGGAGGAAAAGAAACUAACAAUGAUUCCCCCAGUAACUGCGAGUGAAGAGGGACAAGCUCAAAUUUUAAAUCUGUUGGGUUUACCUAACCGAGUUGUAAUUUGAAGAGGCGUUUUCUGUGUUUUUGAUCAGUCCAAGUCCUUUGGGAUAAGGCAUCAUGGAGGGUGAGAAUCCCGUCCGGUUGAUCAGAUUCGCUUUACGAUACGUCAUCUAAGAGUCAAGUUGUUUGGGAUUGCAGCUUAAAAUGGGAGGUAAAUUUCUCCUAAGGCUAAAUAACGGCGAGAGACCGAUAGCGAACAAGUACCGUGAGGGAAAGAUGAAAAGGACUUUGAAAAGAGAGUUAAACAGUACGUGAAAUUGUUGAAAGGGAAACGAUUGAAGUCAGUCAUACCGGCGGGUAAUCAGCCUUUCGGGUGCGAUUCUGUGGAGUGUGAGGAGUUAAACGCCUUCGUGCCUGCAUAUUCGUGCACCUUGGGUGUACUUGCCCGUGUGGUAAGUUAACAUCAAUUUUGGGUCGUCAUAAAAUGACUGGUGGAAUGUAGCUUCGGUCUCGUACUGAAGUGUUAUAGCCUCCGGUAGAUGUGAUGACCGGGAUUGAGGAUUGCAACGGAUACCCUUCGGGGCUACCUGUCUGAUCUCUGAAAGUUGCUCUGGUGCCGAAAGCGUGCUUUACGGUCAUCAAAGUUGACGUUCAAUAGGUUAGAACGGGUUUAAAUUCGUUAAGGAUGUUGNCGUAAUGGCUUUAAACGACCGUCUUUGAAACACGGACCAAGGAGUCUUAGCAUGUAUGCGAGUGUU
rnacentral:rRNA from 1 species